rnacentral:rRNA from 1 species
GCUAGCGAUAGGCUUAACACAUGCAAGUCGAGGGCAGCAUGGUCUUAGCUUGCUAAGACUGAUGGCGACCGGCGCACGGGUGCGUAACGCGUAUGCAACUUGCCUCACAGAGGGGGAUAACCCGUCGAAAGACGGACUAAUACCGCGUACACUCCAGCUUGGGCAUCCAAGCUAGAGGAAAUGAAAAUUCGCUGUGAGAUAGGCAUGCGUCCCAUUAGCUAGUUGGUGAGGUAACGGCUCACCAAGGCGACGAUGGGUAGGGGAACUGAGAGGUUGAACCCCCACACUGGUACUGAGACACGGACCAGUCUCCUACGGGAGGCAGCAGUGAGGAAUAUUGGUCAAUGGGCGAGAGCCUGAACCAGCCAAGUCGCGUGAAGGAUGACUGUCUUAUGGAUUGUAAACUUCUUUUAUACGGGAAUAACAAGAGUCACGUGUGGCUCCCUGCAUGUACCGUAUGAAUAAGCAUCGGCUAACUCCGUG